AGUGAACGCUGGCGGUAGGCCUAACACAUGCAAGUCGAACGGCAGCACAGUAAGAGCUUGCUCUUACGGGUGGCGAGUGGCGGACGGGUGAGGAAUACAUCGGAAUCUACUUUUUCGUGGGGGAUAACGUAGGGAAACUUACGCUAAUACCGCAUACGACCUACGGGUGAAAGCAGGGGAUCUUCGGACCUUGCGCGAUUGAAUGAGCCGAUGUCGGAUUAGCUAGUUGGCGGGGUAAAGGCCCACCAAGGCGACGGUCCGUAGCUGGUCUGAGAGGAUGAUCAGCCACACUGGAACUGAGACACGGUCCAGACUCCUAAGGGAGGCAGCAGUGGGGAAUAUUGGACAAUGGGCGCAAGCCUGAUCCAGCCAUACCGCGUGGGUGAAGAAGGCCUUCGGGUUGUAAAGCCCUUUUGUUGGGAAAGAAAAGCAGCAGGUUAAUACCCCGCUGUUCUGACGGUACCCAAAGAAUAAGCACCGGCUAACUUCGUG
rnacentral:rRNA from 1 species